rnacentral:lncRNA from 10 species
ACUGUUUUAAAGAAGAGGCAUGGGGAAGAAGAGAGCUCCCCGCUUCUAAACUAUGUGAGCUGCCACGACCCCAACAACAAUGCCCCUUUGAGGUGGCCAGACGUCCAGUAUCAGAUCUUGGGCGGCCGGACAGCAAACCAGAUCAUUUUCGGCCACAAUGGCUUUUAUGUCUUCUACAUUUCGAUCGUGGAUCCGUACUACAGCUACUGUCAACUGGAGACCAUCUUUAGCAUCUACGUGUAUGGAGCAUUCCCCGUGCAGCUGGUCUCUGCUGGAGUCGUCAUCCUACUGAUCAUCUCCAGCAUCCUGGGGUCCGUUUGGCUGGCC